rnacentral:rRNA from 1 species
GAUGAACGCUGGCGGCGUGCCUAAUACAUGCAAGUCGAGCGAACAGAUGAGGAGCUUGCUCCUCUGACGUUAGCGGCGGACGGGUGAGUAACACGUGGAUAACCUACCUAUAAGACUGGGAUAACUUCGGGAAACCGGAGCUAAUACCGGAUAAUAUAUUGAACCGCAUGGUUCAAUAGUGAAAGACGGUUUUGCUGUCACUUAUAGAUGGAUCCGCGCCGCAUUAGCUAGUUGGUAAGGUAACGGCUUACCAAGGCAACGAUGCGUAGCCGACCUGAGAGGGGGAUAGGCCACAUGGGAACUGAGACACGGUCCAGACUCCUAAGGGAGGCAGCAGUAGGGAAUCUGCCGCAAUGGGCGAAAGCCUGACGGAGCAACGCCGCGUGAGUGAUGAAGGUCUUCGGAUCGUAAAACUCUGUUAUUAGGGAAGAACAAAUGUGUAAGUAACUAUGCACGUCGUGACGGUACCUAAUCAGAAAGCCACGGCUAACUACGUG